rnacentral:lncRNA from 1 species
CCUGGCAUUGCAGCCUGAGGCCCCCUCUAGUUUUUCUCUCCCUGCUGCCCCCAAUUCCACCCUCUCCCAUUUCCACUGCCCAGCCUCUUCCCUGUAGAAACUGUUCCUAGUUCCAUCCCCGUAGUGGCAGCCUUGCCCCGGGCCCUUACCUGGUUGGGAUGGGGAAGGGCCUGUGGCAGUGAGGUGCAGAUGAGCUUAGGGGCUGGCUGACCAGAAUCCCUGAUCCCUGAGUACUUACAAAAUUGGAGCAGAUGCCUUAAUGGGAUGCAAAGGAAAUCCAGACUCAGGCGAUCUGUUACUGAGUGAGGGUCCCACAUCACUCAGGGCUGGGCUGCCCAGCUCAGUCCUCUCCCCAUACAGUUGGGCUGUCUGGGGCCCAGAGAGGGUCAGGUCUGUUUCUCCUGGGCUGCCUGAUCAGCAGUGGAGUCUGGGCACUCCACACAGUCCGAGGUGCUCUGACUGGAGCUUGCAACAAUCGGGGGGCCUGGGAAGCAAGUGAUUGAGACCAGGCUUCUGGCUUCUGGCUGAAUUUUGUUGCCCC